CAACCCUCAAGCAUUGCUUGGUAUUGGGCUCCGCUGCUCACCCAGCGGGCCUUAAAAUCAGUGGCGGUGCCGCCUGGCCCUGAGCGUAGUAAAUCUCCUCGCUAUAGGGACCUGGUGGACGCUGGCCAUCAACCCCCGCUUUCUAA
rnacentral:misc_RNA from 1 species